UACGGGGGGAGCAAGCGUUGUUCGGAUUUACUGGGCGUAAAGGGCGCGUAGGCGGCCACCGCAAGUCGAUUGUGAAAUCUCCGGGCUUAACCCGGAAAGGUCAACCGAUACUGCGGGGCUAGAGUGCAGAAGGGGCAACUGGAAUUCUCGGUGUAGCGGUGAAAUGCGUAGAUAUCGAGAGGAACACCUGCGGCGAAGGCGGGUUGCUGGGCUGACACUGACGCUGAAGUGCGGAAAGCUAGGGGAGCGAACAGG
rnacentral:rRNA from 1 species